rnacentral:sRNA from 1 species
UAUUCUGCCCCACGGGGAAGGAUGAGAAGCUUCGACUAAGGUUCGACUCGAGCGAAGCGAGAGAACGUUGCCGCAGGCAAAGGCCCGAAGGGCGAGGCGCUUUAGCGCCGAGUAAUCCUUCCCCCACCACCA